CAUCUGAAGUAGUAGAACAGACGUGAGUUACCUUUCAGUGCAUUCGAACGACGCGUUUCUAGUAUACGCUAAAAACUUUAAUUGCGUAUACGAACAAAAUAAUAUGGACAAACGAACAAUAUUAUGGUACAUGACGUUUUGGGGUUUCGCUGUAAACUACAUGUUUCGGAUGAAUAUCAACAUAGCCAUUGUGUCUAUGGUUAAACAUUCCAUUAAGAAUGUAACCGUUGAAAGCGAAUGUCCCGAUGCAUACGUCAUGUCGUUGAAAUUGAAUAAUACCUAUGGACAACAGUCUCCGGCAAACACAGAUGAUAACAAGUUCGAAUGGAACGAAUACGAGACGAAUUCGGUGCUGGGCGCAUUUUUCACAUUGCACAUGAUCAUGCAAAUACCAGGCGGAGUAUUGGCACAACGGUACGGCACGAAAAAGGUUUACGGUCUGAGCAACGGCGUGGCAGCGAUGCUAUCCUGUGCCAUACCCAUCGCGGCCAAAAUCAAUUACAAAACGCUUCUCGGCGUAAGACUCGUCCAGGGAUUCAUAGCAGGUGGUGUUUGGCCUUCAAUGCAGUCGAUGACGGCCGUAUGGAUACCGCCACACGAAAGAAGUAGAUUCGUUUCGGCUUAUUUGGGGAGUUCGUUCGGCACAGCAGUGACAUAUGUAAUGUGUGGGUAUCUCAUCGCCAUGUUCGGCUGGGAGAGCGUAUACUACGUCACCGCAGCACUGGGAUUCUUGUGGUAUGUUGCUUGGAUGUUACUUGUUUAUGACACGCCAGCUGAACACCCGACGAUUAGUGAAAGAGAAAGAAUCUACAUCGAAAGUUGUGUUAUUAAAACAUCUCAAUCCAAAUCAAACCCGUUGCCGAUACCAUGGAAAUCAUUGAUCCUAUCCAAAGCAUUAAUAGUAAAUUUAUUGGCGCAAGGAGGAGCCAUCUGGGGUUUAUUCACGCUCACAACUCAAGCUCCGACAUACUUUAAUUUUAUAUUAGGUUUAAAUAUUAAACAGACAGGUUUAUGGUCUGGAGUACCACACUUAUUUCGAUGGAUGUUUUCUUUCGGAUUUAGUACGAUGUGCGAUCAUAUAGUGAAGUCCAAAACUAUGUCUAUGACCAAUGUCCGCAAACUUGCGACUGGCUUUAGUAAUGUCUUACAAGGAUUAUUCAUUUUGGGCCUCUGUUAUUCUGGAUGCAAUUCCACUGCUGCAGUUGUAAUGCUUAUCAGUGCAACUGCCGUGAAUGGUGCCGUAUCUUCCGGAACAUUGGCCGCAGUAGUAGAUAUUUCUCCAAAUUUUGCGGGUAUCAUUCAAGGUAUAGUUGGCAGUUUUUGUGUGUUUGCGGGAUUUCUAUCACCGAUGGUCGUGGGCUUUUUAACCAUCAAUCAGUCUGUUCAGAUUGAGAGUGCCCUAACUCGCGCAUGCCUUCUGAGAAGCCGAUAACGGUCGGACACCCAUCGAUAUCUAGACGCUCGAUAAUUCGUUGCCAUUGUUUGACCGCCGUCGUUGUUUAUCAAAAACUAUAGCUUGGCGUUACGAGAAGAGUGUGGUAAUACAGUUCACUACGUAUAACAGCGUCGUAACGCGUCGGCAUACUCCAACGUUCCUAGUGGAAAAGACACAUGCGCAGUAAAAACCAGUUUUCGUCCAAGUGACUGGGCACUCUUAUUCCGAAUAGACUAUAGUCCAUGGGACUGCAGAUAGUACUUUAGACUUCAGUAGUGCAGUGGCCAUGGGGGUAUUAUAUCAGUAUCAUAUUUCGUAAUACGGUGUUAUUUGAUUAUUUUCAUUUUUUAUUGGAACAAAUAUUUUAUUUUUAGAACAACAAUGGCCAACUAUCGAUAAGCUAUUCUUCUGAACAUGUAAUAGUAAAUACAUCAAUGAUAAAUGAAAAUAGCAAACACUGGCCCAAUGGAACAAAGUGUUUUACAUAUCGGCAGCGCUGUCCAUUAGCUCCGGUUUUCUUUACAUAUUUUUCGGA